GAUGAACGCUAGCGGGAGGCCUAACACAUGCAAGCCGAGCGGUAUUGUUUCUUCGUAAAUGAGAGAGCGGCGUACGGGUGCGUAACACGUAUGCAACCUGCCUCUAUCUGUGGGAUAGCCAUUCGUAAGGAAGAUUAAUACUCCAUAAUAUAUUUAACUGCAUCGUUUAAUAUUGAAAGCUCCGGCGGAUAGUGAUGGGCACGCUCUAGAUUAGCUAGUUGGUUAGGUAACGGCUCACCAAGGCGAUGUUCCUUAGGGGGCCUGAGGGGGUGACCCCCCACACUGGUACCGAGACCCAGACCAGUCUCCGACGGGACAGAGCGGUGUGGAAUGUAAGUCGAUGGAGGCAAGCCUAAACACGCCAUGCCGGGUGAAGGACGACUGCCCUAUGGAUUGUAAACUUCUUGUGAAUAACGAUAAUCCUACCCUCGAGAGGGUAGCUGAAGGUACUAAACGAAUAAGCACCGGCUAACUACGUG
rnacentral:rRNA from 1 species